GUGGCUCGGUGGUAGAGCACUUGCCUUGCAUGCAUGAGGCCCUGAGUUCAAUUCCCCAGC
rnacentral:tRNA from 1 species